rnacentral:sRNA from 1 species
AAAUGACUAAUUCUCACAUACACCGACACAUGAUUCGGGUGCCAGCGUGCUGGUUGGAUUAUGGGGUGUGUGGAGGCUUAAC